AGUCACUGACAUUAGAUACCCGCGUAGUCCAGGGUGUAAACGCUGCAGACUUGGUGUUGGAGGCCCUUUGGGGGCAUUCAGUGCCGGAGAGAAGUUGUUAAGUCUGCUACUUGGGAAGUACGGUCGCAAGGCUGAAACUUAAAGGAAUUGGCGGGGGAGCACCACAACGGGUGGAGCUUGCGGUUUAAUUGGAUUCAAUGCCGGAAAUCUUACCGGGACCGACAGCAACAUGAAGGCCAGGCUGAAGACUUUGCCGGAUUAGCUG
rnacentral:rRNA from 1 species